rnacentral:rRNA from 1 species
GAGUUUGAUCCUGGCUCAGAUUGAACGCUGGCGGCAGGCCUAACACAUGCAAGUCGAACGGUAACAGAAAGCAGCUUGCUGCUUUGCUGACGAGUGGCGGACGGGUGAGUAAUGUCUGGGAAACUGCCUGAUGGAGGGGGAUAACUACUGGAAACGGUAGCUAAUACCGCAUAACGUCGCAAGACCAAAGAGGGGGACCUUCGGGCCUCUUGCCAUCGGAUGUGCCCAGAUGGGAUUAGCUUGUUGGUGGGGUAACGGCUCACCAAGGCGACGAUCUCUAGCUGGUCUGAGAGGAUGACCAGCCACACUGGAACUGAGACACGGUCCAGACUCCUACGGGAGGCAGCAGUGGGGAAUAUUGCACAAUGGGCGCAAGCCUGAUGCAGCCAUGCCGCGUGUAUGAAGAAGGCCUUCGGGUUGUAAAGUACUUUCAGCGGGGAGGAAGGGAGUAAAGUUAAUACCUUUGCUCAUUG